CCUCCUAGAGCCAAGCUACAGUUCGUGAGGAACCACGGGCAUCCGGGACAUGAUUCUCAAGGUGUACUGCUGUCUGUGCAGCAGGCCGCUCCAUCUUCUCUGGCAUCAUCUGGUGCCACAACCUGCUGAGGCUCUGAAAAAGGUUGGCUCUCUGAAAGGGUGGGCUUGGCCUCCACAAGAGUAGAUCUUGUCCCCUGGGAGGAAGGCUGUAACCAGAGCAGGAUCUGGACUUAGCCACAGUCAACACUGAAUAUGUACAGUUGACAGGAUGGCUCAGUGGGCAAAGGCACUUGCCACCAAGCUCGAAGACCUGAGUUCCAUCCCUGGGACCCCCGUAAAGGUGAAGAAGGACCUGAUUCCUCUAAGUUGUCCUCUGACUUCCACGAACAUGCUGCAUGCCCCUCUUCCCCUCUAAAAACAUGCGGAGGGCUGUCUUAAAAACAAUCUGUGUCCUUUGAAUUCAGGCAGUGUAGAAAAAUGGAACAUUAGAGUAAAACAACCUUCAACCCAGAUAG